UACGUAGGGUGCGAGCGUUGUCCGGAAUUAUUGGGCGUAAAGAGCUCGUAGGCGGUCUGUUGCGUCUGCCGUGAAAACCCGAGGCUUAACCUCGGGCCUGCGGUGGAUACGGGCAGACUAGAGUGCGGUAGGGGAGACUGGAAUUCCUGGUGUAGCGGUGAAAUGCGCAGAUAUCAGGAGGAACACCGGUGGCGAAGGCGGGUCUCUGGGCAGUAACUGACGCUGAGGAGCGAAAGCGUGGGGAGCGAACAGG
rnacentral:rRNA from 1 species